AACGAACGCUGGCGGCAGGCUUAACACAUGCAAGUCGAGCGCCCCGCAAGGGGAGCGGCAGACGGGUGAGUAACGCGUGGGAACGUACCCUUUGCUACGGAAUAGCUCCGGGAAACUGGAAUUAAUACCGUAUGUGCCCUACGGGGGAAAGAUUUAUCGGCAAAGGAUCGGCCCGCGUUGGAUUAGCUAGUUGGUGGGGUAAUGGCCUACCAAGGCGACGAUCCAUAGCUGGUCUGAGAGGAUGAUCAGCCACAUUGGGACUGAGACACGGCCCAAACUCCUACGGGAGGCAGCAGUGGGGAAUAUUGGGCAAUGGGCGCAAGCCUGACCCAGCCAUGCCGCGUGAGUGAUGAAGGCCUUAGGGUUGUAAAGCUCUUUUAGUAGUGAAGAUGAUGACAGUAGUUACAGAAAAAGCCCCGGCUAACUUCGUGCCAGCCGCCGCGGUAA
rnacentral:rRNA from 1 species